rnacentral:rRNA from 1 species
UACGAAGGGUGCAAGCGUUGUUCGGAAUCAUUGGGCGUAAAGCGCGCGCAGGCGGAUCAGUAAGUCAGGUGUGAAAUCUCGAAGCUCAACUUCGAAAUUGCGCCUGAAACUACUAGUCUAGAAUGUCGGAGGGGGCAGGGGAAUUUCACGUGUAGGGGUAAAAUCCGUAGAGAUGUGAAGGAACACCGGGGGCGAAGGCGCCUGCCUGGACGACUAUUGACGCUGAGGCGCGAAAGCGUGGGGAGCAAAC